UGAGUUUGAUCGUGGCUCAGGAUGAACGCUGGUCGGCGUGCCUAAUACAUGGCAAGUCGAGCGAACAGACAAAGGAGCUUGCUCCUUUGACGUUAGCGGCGGACGGGUGAGUAACACGUGGGUAACCUACCUAUAAGACUGGGAUAACUUCGGGAAACCGGAGCUAAUACCGGAUAAUAUUUCGAACCGCAUGGUUCGAUAGUGAAAGAUGGUUUUGCUAUCACUUAUAGAUGGACCCGCGCCGUAUUAGCUAGUUGGUAAGGUAACGGCUUACCAAGGCGACGAUACGUAGCCGACCUGAGAGGGUGAUCGGCCACACUGGAACUGAGACACGGUCCAGACUCCUACGGGAGGCAGCAGUAGGGAAUCUUCCGCAAUGGGCGAAAGCCUGACGGAGCAACGCCGCGUGAGUGAUGAAGGUCUUCGGAUCGUAAAACUCUGUUAUUAGGGAAGAACAUACCGUGUAAGUAACUAUGCACGUCUUGACGGUACCUAAUCAGAAAGCCGACGGCUAACUACGUGCCAGCCGCCGCCGUAACACAA
rnacentral:rRNA from 1 species